AGUACUGGCCUGAUGUUCUCCCAACAAAAAGUGGAAAUCAGGUAAGACACUUGAGCUUCUUCUGUAAGCGACUGUCAAGACUUAAUGAAACUUCUGUCGUGUUGUGCAAUAUGUUAUAACACACCAACUUCCUUCAAAAACAUAACUUCUUUCAAAAACAAAACUUCUUUAAAAAAUAAAACUUCCUUACGCAAUAAGAAUAAGUGCUUGUUCGUGCGGAUCGCUCUGGCUCUGAAGUGGGGGAUUAUCGUGCGGACCCCACACAGGCCACAGCCACGCACAUUCUUUUUUUGGCGGCAAUAUUCGACAUCUUUACUCUGAC